UCUCAUCUCUCUCCCACGACGUGUGCACCGCCGCCAGGUCCGUUCUCAUCUGGUUAAUCCCGACGGGCAUAUUUUCUUUCUGCUCUACCUCAGGAGACCUCCUCCCCUGAGCGCUCCCCUCCCUCAGGAGACCUCCUCCCCGACCUCUCGUUUUCUCUACUGACGGUCGACCUGGUGGUGUACCGCCGCCGUCGCGGCGCUGAAACCGGCGAGAUCCUGCGUCCCCAUCGUGACCCGGAUUCCCUAUGCCACCAGUACGCCGGACACCUCAAGAUUCGCAUGUGAAAGGAGGUGCAUGGGAGAAAAGAUGCCAGAGUUGCGUAGUGGAGUGUGAUAAUAUAUUCAAGUCAAGGAAAGUUGUGGUGACCAACACGAUUAUCCAUCUCGUCCAGCGGGGACGCUGCAAGAAUCAUGGCCCCCAUGUGUGCUAUUGUCCAACACAGCCGCUGCCCUUUCACACUACCUCCACGCCGGUUGUGUUUUCCCUACAAGUACAGCUCGCUUCUCUCCUGCAAUAUGACUAGGCUGGAGAUGGGUGUCAUGGCUUCAGAGGCGUCAACAUUGACUGCAGAUACAUUCUGAAAAUUGAAUUGUGUGAGAUUCUUAGUAUAUGCAAUUCUGUAAAUUGUAUUUGUAUGUAUGUGAAGGUCUUUUCAAAAUGGAGCAGAAAGAAAAGAACAUAGCUUUUGGUUUAGCUUAGUAGAGAAAGACUGAAACACAUUUCAUUUAUAUCACGGGAAUGGAUGCCUUAGUGUCUGCAUUUUAUUC